UACGGGGGGUGCGAGCGUUAAUCGGAAUAACUGGGCGUAAAGGGCACGCAGGCGGUCUGUUAAGUGAGGUGUGAAAUCCCCGGGCUUAACCUGGGAAUUGCAUUUGAUACUGGGAGACUAGAGUAUUGUAGGGGGGGGUAGAAUUCCAGGUGUAGCGGUGAAAUGCGUAGAGAUGUGGAGGAAUACCGAAGGCGAAGGCAGCCCCUUGGGAAUGUACUGACGCUCAGGUGCGAAAGCGUGGGGAGCAAACAGG
rnacentral:rRNA from 1 species